UACGGAGGGUGCGAGCGUUAAUCGGAAUUACUGGGCGUAAAGCGUGCGUAGGCGGCCUGCCAAGUCAGGUGUGAAAGCUCCGGGCUCAACCUGGGAACGGCACUUGAAACUGGCAAGCUAGAGUUGGGUAGAGGGGAGUGGAAUUCCGGGUGUAGCGGUGAAAUGCGUAGAUAUCCGGAGGAACAUCAGUGGCGAAGGCGGCUCUCUGGACCCGAACUGACGCUGAGGUACGAAAGCGUGGGUAGCAAACAGG
rnacentral:rRNA from 1 species